CGAGCACGCGCGUGUGGCAUAUCAAUAAGCGGAGGAAAAGAAACUAACAAGGAUUCCCCUAGUAACGGCGAGUGAAGCGGGAAGAGCUCAAAUUUGAAAUCUUAAAGGGUUUCCCUUUACGAAUUGUAGUUUAAAGAAGUGUUUUCUGUUGGAGUUUCGGUAAAAGUUCUUUGGAAUAGGACAUCAUAGAGGGUGAGAAUCCCGUAUUUGACCGUUACUUUCCAGCUGUGUGAUACACUUUCAAAGAGUCGGAUUGUUUGGGAAUGCAGUCCGAAAUGGGUGGUAAAUUUCAUCUAAAGCUAAAUAUUGGCGAGAGACCGAUAGCGAACAAGUACCGUGAGGGAAAGAUGAAAAGAACUUUGAAAAGAGAGUUAAACAGUACGUGAAAUUGUCAAAAGGGAAGCGUUUGACACCAGUGUUGUUUUCUCGAAAAUCAAUUAAAAAUGGCCGGAUUUUGUGUUGUAUUGACCUUAUCAGCUUUCCGCACUUUUUUCUUGUCUUUUUUAAUGCACUUUUCGUUUAACAAGUCAACAUCAAUUUCUUUUGCUGUAAAAGGGUAAAAGGAAGGUGGCUUUAGUUUCGGCUGAAGUGUUUAUAGCCUUUUACCUCUGCAGUCGGAGAGAUUGAGGUCUGCAGCGUAGAUCCUUCGGGGUUAGAUACAUUUGUGCUAAGUUAUAGCUUUUCAUAGACAACAUGUUGACUAUGUUAAGUCAUGUAGCUUACUCGCAAGUGCUAUUUUACCUACGCUUAGGAUGUUGAGCGCAUGUCUCUCUCUC
rnacentral:rRNA from 1 species